rnacentral:lncRNA from 1 species
AAAGGAAAGAAAAGAGAGUGGAAUGAGUUGACAAGGAAGAAAGUGCCCCAGGAAAACUCCUGGUGACCUUGAAUCUACUUUCUGCUGCUGAGAAUUUACCUAUUUUGGAUGCUUCAUGAGACGAUUCCUCUUAGCAAAAGGGCACUGUGUACCCUCCAAGGCUGGAAAUGAUAGGUUUUCGGCGAGGAGUGAAAAUAUUGUGCUGACAGCCCUUUGCCUGUGUAGAGCAGGGUUGUUUACUCGCGCUGGAGCACAGCUUUAUUGAAGCAGAGAGUCAUGGUCCCAUCAUCAGGGUUGCCUAGCAACCAGUCUACGCCACUCCACAGAGUUUCAGAAUGGGCUGGACCACAAGUACCCACUUUGGGGGAUUUCCAGUGACAGUCCUACUCUCACUCCAUCACAUCGCUUCUAAAAUCUGAGUCACAUGGUUCAAAUUUCACAGUACAAAGUGUGUUCUUCAGAUCUGGGGUUCUCUCCAAAAUGGAUAAUCAUUAUUGAUUUUGUAAUGCAAUGCCAAGACCAUCAGUAAGCCUGGACCCACGCCUUCAUCAAUCUACUGUCAGGGAUAGAUUGUGCAUUUUCUGUGUCCCAGUGGGUGCCCCCCCCCCAAAAUAGAGCAGACAAAGCCUGGCCUGCGAGGGUACUGGUUUAGUUCAACAAAUAUCCAUAGAAUGCCCACUUAGGCAAAAUGGCAUAGGGCAGAUUGCCAAAAUCAGGGUUGACUCGGCCUGGAGCCAUGAAGUGGGUCCAACAGGUCUCUGAACUGAGGCAGGAGGCCCCAGGAUCCCGAGGUGUGCUGUAAAGCCUUUGAUGACAGCAUCUUGUGCCUAACACCUGACCACAUCUGAGCCACUAGAGACAGUACCUGAUAAGGAUGCAGAUGCCUGGGCCCUACCUUCCAAAGUUCUGGCUCAGUAGGUCUGGGGGAAGACCAGUAAUCUUCAUUUUAACAAAGACCACUGACGGUUCUGAUGCAGGUGGUCCAAGGACCACACCUGGAGAAACUUCCACCUCUAGGAGCAUCUGGGGUAAAAACUUCACCCAAACUUCCUAAGGUCACAACAUAUCCCCCCCAACAGAGGAAGCAGUAACUUUUGGCCACAGCCCCUAGAGAGGGGAUUUGCCUGGCGUUUCUAUACUGUCCUCUGUCCAAGGACAAAGUGUGCCUUACCCCACAACUGCUUUGUGGUUAAAAGCUUCUAUUGAGGGAUAGUUUAUUUACUUCUAGCACUAUGAAGCAAUAUAGUGAGGUUUUUGUUUCCUUUGAAUCCCAGUCAUUUUAUGCUGCAGAAAAUCUAGAGUUUUUGCCACAGUGGAGGACUCUGCUUAAGGACUACCUAUCUGGGUCUGGUAAUAGCUACCCCAACCCAACGGUCCUGAACGAGUAAUAUGGUUCGACUGUUUCCCUCCCCACCUCCAAAUCUCAUCUUGAAUUGUAGUUCCCAUAAUCCCCACGUGUUGUGGGAGGGACCUGGUGGGAGGUAAUUGAAUCAUGGGGGCGGUUAGCCUCAUGUUGUUCUCCUGAUAGUGAGUUCUCACAAGAUCUGAUGGUUUUAUAAGGGGUUUUUCCUCCUUUUGCUUGGCACUUCUUGCUGCCACCAUGUGAAGAAGGACAUAUUUGCUUCCCCUUAUGCCAUGACUGUAAGUUUCCUGAGGCCUCCUGAGCCAUGUGGAACUGUGAGUCAAUUAAACCUCUUUCCUUUAGAGAUUACCCAGUCUCAGAUAUGUCUUUAUUAGCAGAGUGAGAAUGGGCUAAUACAAUGAGAUAGAACUUAAAUCCCCUGCAUGCUCAUCAGAGGAGGCUCCAUAGAAGAUCAUGGACCUUGAACAAGGUGCAAGUAAGCCUAGAUGCAAUGCAAUGGAUUAGGGAUUCCAGGCUUGAAAACCAGUGGGAAGGAAGGGGUCAGGUGGGAGUGGUCCUCAGUUCCUGUGUGGGCUCUGGCAUCAGGCAGCACACAGGAGUCUUCCCUGCUGGUGGGGAGAGAAAGAGGCAGUAGAAGGGGUCCCGAGCUGGAAGGAUCAGCAGCCACUGCAGACUACUGAUGGAGGCAGUGCCAGGGAGGAAGAGGGUCGUGCCUAGUGGUGUCCAGGCAUUGGCAUGCAGGAGGCAGUCCAGGCACUGGUACCCGGGAGAGUUAAAACUGGGGGAAGGGAAGACAGCAGGGGAUUCUCACAAGGAAUGUGGAGCAGAGGCCCAGGCAGGGGGCCAUCAAGGUGGAGAGGACUGAACCUGGAAAUGGAAGCUUUCCAAGUCACACAUUGAAGAGUAUCAGCAAGGUCUUAAGCCCUGGAACAGUGAGGGAUGGCAUCAGGACAAACUGAGGUCAGUGAGUGUGUUGGCAGCGGACCAGGCUCCGAACGGCACAAACUCCGUCUGGGAUGGGGAAUCUAGCAGAAGACCUAGGAAGAAUUUGAAGAGGGUUCAGAGGUGAAUUAGGGAUGCUUGUAGCUUUUGUGUGGGCAGUGCGUUACUGGGGUGUAGUCCUCAUUGAAGGCCCAAGAUUCUGCCUCUAAGGGUGUAACUCUGCUGAAUCCAGCACCUGAGAGGCUGUCCAGAGCAGGCAGGAGGUCAGCUGUCAGGCUGUGGGCCCAGUUUUAGAGUCAAAUUGAAUUUCCAGUGGGGAAGACCAAAGCUGAAGUCCAUCCCCCAGAGGAUGAGAGAAAGGAAGGCUGCAGCUCAGGCAGCUCAGGGAGUCUGAGGCAGCAAACGAGCUCUGGACCUUGAAGUGGGGAGAGGAAGUCCUUUCACCUCAUCACAGUGCUCACAUCACCUCAGAAACCAGGUGGGACACACAGCUGUGACAGAGAAAGGGGAGCUCCAAUGGAAAAGCCACCUGCAUCAUGAUGCUGCCUGUCACUUGACUGAGCGUUCCUGCUGCCCAGAAGCUCCUGUUGUCCUCCCAACUGACGGGAUGCUCUUGGACAGUGAUGCCAGCUGGAAUUAAGACUGGGUUUCCAAGGCCACUGUGACCACCAUGAUUAAUCAAUCCCUACUGCUAGGGCUCCAACAUGCCUCAGCCAGAAAGCUGUCAUCUCUUUCCUGGGAACAUUCCUUAAGAAAGAACCAUCAUGGGGUUGGAUGAAACUAAACUUGCAAAGAAGGUGAUGUGUAACCAAGUUGGAGUGUGGAGUGUGGGGUCAAAGAUGAUGGCAUUCUGUGUGGAUCCGCAGUGGUAGGAAUGGAGGUGAGGAGGAAGAAAUGAAUCCAGGAGGCAGCGUGACAGAAAACACAGACUUUGGUGACGACAUGUGAGAAGCUGUAAACUGAUAAGAAGAAAAGACGUCUCCAGCACGUUUGGGUUAGUGUCAUCAACCCAUGGAUCCUGCCCACAGCAAGACUUGGCCCAGUCACAACCCCCUUUCUAGCAAUGUGGAGAUAAAUGUCUUCAACAGAAAGGGUUGGGAAUCCCAUGUGACAGCCGAGCUCUGUUCUGCCUUUGACAGAGUCUGAUGCGAAGUGGAUCAUCUCAGGGAUGUGCCUUGCUGGCUUCACCCACCUGGAGCCUCAGGGGAAGUCUCAGGUGGGAGAUGUUAAUUUGAGAGGCCUGGGUAUAAAAGUAAUCCCAAGAUGUCACAAGAUAGAAUACUUUCUCUGAGGCACAAACAGGGAGAAAAACAAGAACAGAACCCCUUAGCAGGACACUCAUAAUAAGAAGAAUUAGGAAAAGAAAAGGGAACCCGGGGUGACACAAAACUGGGGGAGUCUGUUACCACAAGGUAGAUGGCUACCUCCAGUUGGACAAAUUUCCAUGGACCACCAUGCAAUUUCUGGAGAUGCCGCCUUUGAUCCCCUCUUCUCCCUUUGCUCCUCCCUCAUCUCCACACUCAAAGUGCACAUUAUUCAGAUGUCCAGCACGCCCCUAAAUCAACUUGACUUCUCUUGUUCCUUGGCAGAUUCAAGGACCAGCCUUCAUUGGAUUUGGGGUGGAAGCUACAUGCUUGUGUCAAGGGUUGUAAUCCCAAGUCUGGUCCUGUUUUCUGCAAACAAUAUCAUUGUAAACACAUUGAAUGUGUCUGAAUGGGAUUCACAUAACCUAUUCAAAGGUUAAUAUCACAAGACUGAUACUGAGCUGGAAGCUCUGAAAUGUACUUGUGCUCAGGGAAGAUAUUUGCUAAUGUUUGGCUUUAAUUUCCCCUGGAACUUGUACACAUCAGUGAGGCCUGGGGAUAAUGAAUAACAGCAUGGACAAUAAAUUUUAAAACAAACAAAAUAAAAACUCAAAGAACAUUAAUGCAGACCAGUGCUGGGAUAUGAUGUGUGUUACAAGAGAGUAAUGAUUACUCUUGGUGAGCAGAUUCUAUUAUCUGCUUCUUAGGAGCAAUAGGUGGCUGCCUCUUGAUUGUAUUAGUCCUGGAGUUAUAAAAUCCUCAGUCCUUUACAAUGCAAAAGUGACACAUGGGGCGAGUAAGCAGGUAAGAGAAGGAGCAAUUGGAGGAAGAGAAAUGAGAUCUGUGGCAGGGGCUAUUGGCUUUCCACUAAAACCCAUUCUCUACUUCUUGCUGGGCAAGAACUAGGCAGUAUUUACCAGCCCCUCUUGCAUUUGGGGUGGCCACAAACGAAUUCUGGCCAGUGGAGUGAGGGGCUUCUCAGACAGCAGCCUGCCCCUUCCACACUCCUGUUCCCCUUGCAGUGGCUCAAAGCCCUUGGGUGAUGAUGGAGCCAUAGCUGGAAGAAGCCUGGGUCCCUGGGUCCCCCGUGGAGCCUCCACGCGGGAAGGUGGUCUAGAAAUACACUUCCAUAUUUCAGCCAGCAUGCCUUGGGAUCUUUUUUUAAUGGUGGUUCAGCCUACCCUAACUAAAGCUGGGCCCACUCAGCACGCCCCACACAGGGAUUCUGAAAUGGGAGCAGGGUCCACCAAAACUCUGCUUUUCAGAGAGCUCACACCCUAGGGGAGUAUAAAAGUGACGAGGACACUGGAGCUGGCAGGCAAGACCCAGGAUGCCAAAAUUAGGGCCCCUAAACACAGCAGGGAGGGUGAGCUAUCCUCUUGUGAGGUGGGAGGAGGGUCUCCGUGAGCAGGGCUCUUCUUGGGCCAAACCUGGAUCAUGAGGAGGAGGGAGAGAUGCUGAAUAUGACAUGUCAUUCAAAGUGCUGUCUGGAAAUUUGAGUUCGUUUCUUCAGUAGAGGCAGCACAGGUUAAUCAGACAAACCAGCCAUCAACAGGCUUCCUUUGAGGAGCUUGGUAAGAAUGGAAAACCCAGGGCUGAGGGGCUUACAGAGCUUACAGAGCAGCACAGUAUCAGGGGCCCAAGGCACCAGGAGCUCCUCUGGAAAUUGGCGGGAACAGCUGGAGCAAAGCCGAGGUGAUGGUACCCCUGGUGGCGGGACGGCAGCGACCCUCCAUGGUAUAAGGAGUGGUGAGACCCCAAGGGACAGUGUGCAAGGACUCUGAUGGCAGCAACACUCCUCUAGGAGCUGAUGAGAAAGGCCUGGAAUCCCAAGAUGCACCCCUGAGGUUCAACUCCUACCCUGAUCAUCUCCUCCAAGAUUCUGUGACCUGGGGAAGUCAACAGUACAUUUCAACACCUAUGAUGUCAGCAUGUGAAUGACAUUCCAAUGCUGCUCAUGGGGUCACCCCUGCAAAGGUGAACUCAGUGGAAAGACCUUGCCAAACCGGAAGGAAAACAGGAUACUUUUCUCCAAAAUACUCAUUCAAUAAAUAUUUGCUUAGGCAUUACAAAGACAAAUAAGACUUGCCCCUACCUGUUAGAGGUAUGUAUGUCGAGAAAAGGAAGGAGUGAUUCAAUAAGAGAAACAGCAUUCAGGGAAGAGAAAGAAGGAAGACAUAAAAAUUCAGGUCAUAUUAGAAUAAUAUAUAUAACAAUGAGUUUGGCUAUAUUUCAGAAUUUUCCCAAAAUAUUUCUUUCAAAUUUGAUUGACAUUCUAAACUAUUUAGCUUGAUAUAAAUGAGAUCUUUGUGUACCCUCAGCAGGAACUGCAUUUUAGCUGGUUUUAAAUCUCAACAAUCACUUUCCUGCCUUGGAGAAGGUAUGAACCAGGCUGUUUAUGUAGAAUCCAGGUGGGUUUGAGAGCAGCUUCAGCUGAAUGGAGAGUGACAGGGAGGCUGAGGAAGGGAGGGAGGGGACCCAUGGGCUGUCAUACCCGGGGACUUAGGAAGGCUCUUGCUCUUGCUGGAAGGGUUGCAAAUCCCUAAACCAAGUAAUCCCAUCCCUAAACCAAGUAAUCCCAUUAAAACAUGAAACAUCCAGAGUAAAAUUAAGUUUAGAAUACUAUUUGCAAAGCCAAACAUAGUCUUACCAUAGGAUCCAGGCAUCACACUCCUUGGUAUUUACCCAAAUGGGUUGGAAACUUCCAUAUAAAAAUCUGCACACAGGCCGGGUACGGUGGCUCACGCCUGUAAUCUCAGCACUUUGGGAGGCUGAGGCGGAUGGAUCACCUGAGGUCGGGAGUUCAAGACCAGCCUGACCAACAUGGAGAAACCCUAUCUCUGCUAAAAAUACAAAAUUAGCCAGGCGUGGUGGCACAUGCCUGUAAUACCAGCUACUCAAGGGGCUGAUGCAGGAGAAUUGCUUGAACCCAGGAGGCAGAGGUUGCGGUGAGCCGAGAUUGUGCCAUUGCACUCCAGCCUGGGCAACAAGAGUGAAACUCUGUCUCAUAAAAUAAAUAAAUAAAUAAAUAUAAACCUACACACAGGCCAGGCAGGGUGGCUCACCCUGUAAUCUCAGCACUUUGGGAGGCCGAGGCGGGUGGGGUGGAUCACGAGGUCAGGAGAUCAAGACCAACUUGGCCAAGACGGUGAAACCUCAUCUCUACUAAUAAUACAAAAAUUAGCUGGGCAUGGUGGCACAUGCCUGUAAUCCCAGCUACUCAGGAGGCUGAGACAGGAGAACCGCUUGAACCAGGGAGUCGGAAGUUGUGGUGAGCCGAGAUCACACCACUGCACUCCAGCCUGGUGACAGAGUGAGACUCUGUCUAAAAAAAAAACCUGCACACAAAUAUUCAUGGUAGCUUUAUUCAUACUUGCCAAAACCUGGAAGCAACCAAGAUGUCCUUCAAUAGGUGAAUGGGUAAAUAAACUGUGGUACAUCCAGACAAUGCAAUAUUAUUUGGUGAUUAAAAAAAAAGAAAUGAGUUAAAAUCUUGGAUUUCUUUUUUUUAAAUGAGUUAUAAAGCCACAGAAAGACCUUAAAUACAUAUUGUUAAGUGAAAGAAGCCAGCCUGCAAAGCUACAUCUAUACAUGACUGUAUGACAUUCUAGAAAAGGCAAAACUAUAGAGACAGUGAAAACAUCAGGGAUUGCCAGGGGUUAAGAGGGAAGGAAGGAUGAAAAGGCAGAGGACAGAGGAUUUUAAGGCCGGUGAAACAAUUCUAUAUCAUACCAGAAUGGUGGAUAUAUGGGCUGGGGCUCAGAAAACAAUACCCCCAAAUGAAUGCCUCAGAAGCAAAAGUUUCUCCUGCCCUCCCAUCCCUGACCUCAUUCUCCCCCAAGGUUAGCCAUAGAAACCAGAAGUCCUCUUUCCCAAGGUGGGUCAUAGAAACUUCCAAACCCCUUUUCCCCAAAGCCAGUCAUAAAACCUAAAAAUAUGACUCUAACUUCCACCCCCACCCCACCACCUUUCUGUGUAAAAAUGUGUCAUAAGGAAAUCAUCUAACCUGCCUUGUUUGGUUGUCGGUCGUAAGACCCCCAUUCGAGAGAGGGCCCUGCCCCGUACCCAGCAGGAAGCAAUGCUGCCCAGAGAGGCCACGAGGAAUCUAGACAGGGCUUGCUGGGGGGCCCCACUCACUCUAUGAGCAUUAGCUCAUUCCCUUUUUUGUCCAAUCACAUUUCUAAAUAUUUUGUUGCACCUAAGCUUAAAAGUGGGCAGAGUCCCCUGCAUCUCUGGGUCUUCGUUCUGAAGGCUCCCCUGUCAUGUAACACUAUGACCAAAUAGAUGUGUGUGCCUUUUCUCCUAUUCAUCUGCCUUUUGUCUGUUAAUUUUCAGUGAAACUUCAGAGGGUGAAGGGGAAGUUUUCCUUGGCCCCUACACGUGUCAUUACAAACCCAUAGAAUGUACAAUGCCAAGAGUGGACCUUAGUGCAAGCCAGGGACAUUAGUCAGUAAUAAUGUUCCACGCUGACGCACAAAUGAAAGUUAUUUUAUUUGUGUGAACAGGAGAGCUGACAUGGUCUGUAUUGAUAUCUCCUGGGCAGGGAGGUGGUGAGCACGGCCCCAGAAUUCUGAACUGCCAGGAGCCAGGCAGCUUUGCAUCCUGGAGCUUGGCCAAUUCAGCCGCCCAAGUUCUGGCCAUGGGUCUGCAGCCCCCUGGCCCUUGCCUGCAUAAGCAGGAGAUGAAUGAGAGGAAGCAGAACUCACACAGGAGGCAGGAGGAAGCCACCAGGAAGCUCACUGGCUCCAGGGGCAGCAGAUCUGGGAUGGGGUCCCAGUUCUCUCCUUCCUCAUUCAUGAAAUGGGGCAAUAACAGUACUUACUUCAUUGGAGGUUCUUGGAGGGAAUAAAAGAGAUAUUAGUUAAAGGCAUGGAGCACAGUCCCUGGCACACUGAAAAAGUUUCAUAAAUGUUACCAAUUAAUUGUUUGUAUUAUAUAAUGUCUUCCUGAUAGGUUUUUGGGAAGGAAUAAAUCAAAGGUGAGAAAAUAUAUACAAAAACCUGACUGAGCGAGAACAUAGCUUACACACAAGAAGUGGCAGCUUGGUGAGCACACUGCUAUGUCAUGUUGUGCCUAGUCAUGACAUAGCCAAGGACUGAUACAGGCGCUCCCAUAACCCAUGGAUGGAUUCCUGCUGGACUCUAUUCAUGAAGGUUCUGAUUCUAAUUUUUUUAAAUCCAUGGAUAAAACAGCUACCAGAAAAUCCCAUUUGGGUUUGCAUGUUGUUCUUUGGCUUCGGUGGACAGCAAUCAUAUCAGUUGCAUUUCCCGAGCUAGAGCUCUGAGGCUUAGUCAUCCCCCUCCCUGGCUGGCUUCCAUGCUGUCUGCAGUGGGAGCAUCUUUUAUGAGAUGACAGGAGGGGACUUCAUGGAUGUGCAGCCUGGGCUGCUGGUACUGCCGGGGCUGCUGGUACUGCUGGGACUGCAGGAGAGGGAUGGUUUCUAUUAAUCCUCACAAUGGGAGGGUCCAGUGGGCUGUCACAGCACAGGCAGGGAAUCACAGGCCUCCCUGGGUGACCAGCUGUCCUGGCUGCUACCAGAUUCGGACUCCAGCAGGCUUUCCCUGGGGGCAGAGAUGACCUUGAUCUCUGGGCAGCUAGGCUUCAUGUCCUUGAUAUUUGUGGCCCUGCAUUGUUGGGGCACAGGAUGCAGAGCUGGGGAUGACUGAGCUUAAACUCCUGCUGCUAUGGAGGGCUGCCUCCUUGCCCUGAAUGCCCUGGGAGCCCUUUUAAAAACACAGGUCCAAGGAGUGAUAACAUGAGGGGCAGCACCUCUGGCCCCUGAGAGAGAAACUUGUCCAGUGAUAUGUGCACAAGCAACAUCUCCAGGCAUUCCUUCCAGACAAGGCAAGAGGCCCCCCAGGUGUGAUAUGUUAGCUACACAUGGGCUUGGUCUGUACUGCAAAUGUGUACUCAGUGAUGGGGCCAUUAGAUAUUUGGUUUCUACAUUGCUGCGAUGAAAAUUUACAAAGAACGUUCAUGGGGAAACCAGCUCCCAUCCAUGGGCAGCAGAGGAAUGUUGUCCAAGACUUACAUGGACAGGUAAGACUAAGGUCUCAUCCCAUACUCAGCAGUUCUGUGACCUUUUACAGAACAUAGGGAGGCAAGAAGGGAAAUGAGCCUUAGUUAGCCUCAGGGAGAACCAAGCCAGGUCUGUUUAGGGUCACCACCUUCACUGAACUGCCCUCCACUGGAGGCUAGGAACUGCAGGACAUGAGUUCAACAUCAAAAUAGUAAAAAUAGUGGCAAAUGUUUAGCAGUGUUUGCAACAUAUCAGGUGUCACAGCAACCUCUGCAGGAGAGGUGAGCAGGGCUAAUAUUUAGCAGGUGCACCCUUGUACUGGCUGCCUGCCAUUUAAUAGGUUAGUGCCUCAGCUGGUUAUUGAAUAUUUUCAACAUCGGCCCUGGGUACUAAGAUUAGUUCCCAUUUUACUGAUUAGGAAAUCGAGGUUAAGAGAGGGUAGGCGAUUUGCCUGAGAUCACACAGCCUCGUGUGUGGCAGAGCCUUAGAUUCCAAGCCAGGCUGUCCGAUGCCAGACCUUCACAGCUAUCCUAUGCUUCCACGGCACCCCGGACUUCCCCUUGGAGCACUUGCCAGUGAAACAAACAUGCCCUGGAGAAAUGCCUGGAUGGGGAAAUGAAGACUUAAGAAACUUAGGUAAUCUGCCCAAAGGCUUAUAGCCAAUACAUGGUAAAGCUGAGAUGUGAACUCAAGUAUCUGACUCCAAAGCCUGGGUUUUUUCUCUUUCUCUCUCUCUUUUUUUUUUUUUUUUGAGACAGGGUCUCACUCCUUCACCCAGUCUGGAGUGCAGUGACAUGGUCAUAACUCACUGUAACCUCAAACUCCUGGGCUCAAGUGAUCCUCCUUUCUCAGCCUCCUGAGUAGCUGGGACUACAGGCACACACUUUUAUGCCUGGAUAAUUUUUGUACUUUUUUUGUAGACAGGGUCUUACUGUGUUGCCCAGGCUGGUCUGGAACUCCUAGGCUAAAAUGAUCCUCCUGCCUCAGCCUCCCAAAUUGCUGGGAUUACAGGUGUGAGCCACUGUGCCCGGUCAAAGCCUGUGCUUUGAUUUGCCACCUAAUCCUCCUCCGUUUUAUAUGUAAUGUUAACCCCAAACCUGCAGGGUAGCCGUUAUCAGCCUCAUUUAACUGACAGGGAAGCCCAGUCUCAGAGGGGCCAGAUGCGUGCCCAAGGCCUUGCUGGGAAGAAUGGGAUUCUGGGCCCAGGCAUUCCAGCGCCAAGUCCAGGGCGUGAUUGUUACUCUGCAGUCCCUCUCUGUGACAAGAGCCUCACCGGGAACUCGGGGGUGGGGGCUCCCCCAAGCCUCCUGGCUGGACCCCAUUCCAAGCGUUAGUGUAACAGAUGUUGUGUGGCGGGAGUCUGUUGUGCUCCUGGUGUGUGGCUGGGAUUCAGAGGUGUCUUCAAGCGCUCUAGGAAGCCGGCGGGCGGGGCCAUGGCCGCAGAAGUGAGUGCAGGGAUGGAGAAUACAGGGAGUCCCUUGACCGGAGGAGACUUUGGAGGCAUUUGUGCUGUUCGCGUGAACUCCGCGUCCAUGGCCUACCCUGUGAUUGUCAUCAUUUCUAUGUGAGAAAAAAGCGGCUACUGAUUCACAGCGAAAGGAAACGGACUAGGUUCUGAAACUUCCUGUUUGUCUGGUAUCUGCAAAGAUAUGUGUGUUAUGCAAAUACCCUGACUCCCCAGAACUGCAGGUGUGUACAAACACACACACGCACGCACACACACACACACACACACACACACACACACACCCUCUGCUUGGCCCCAUGCAGUGGGUCUCCUCUGUACCCAGUAAACUGAAACAUGACUCUACUAACAUGGUAGCCAGGACACUGGGGACUCUGCUGUCGGAAUCCCUGAUCAUAGAGACAGCAGCUUUGGCCUUCGGCUCAAAGAGCUUCACAGAUGUCCCUUGUAGGCGAGUCCUGGCUCUGGCUCCUGGCCCACUGCAGAGCCUGGGAGUGAGGCAGGCAGAUAGGCGAGGGGGUCUCACCCAGGCCCAGGAACUCCAUUUUCUCUCAGCCCCAUUCCUCCCUCCCUCGGCUCCCUGACCGUGCUGAACGCAGCUCCCAAGCAGGGGGAGAGUCCAGAUAAUGGCAGAUGUUGAUUGUUUCCUGUUGGUUCACUGUGUCCUUUUGGCAGGCCUUUCUUUCUUUCAAAAUAUAUUCAGGUUUGAGCCUAGCACUGCAGCUUGCUGAGUGGGUCUAUGCUUCCAUAGAGCAGUGGCUUCGGGCACAGGCCUGAGACCCAGCCUGCCUGCGGGCUGCUAGCUGCCAGCUACCUCUGCACUAGGAAGGUUUUUAAACAGCUGAAUGCAAGCUUCAGCGUUAAUAGGUGAAAGUGAAAAUGACAUGUGACUUCUAGACAAUUCUCAUAGAUUCAAAAUAAUUGUUCUCUGUAAUGAGUAAAAUAACACUCUUGCAACAGCUGAAUGCUUUUCUCAUAUUCUGAGUUGCCCGAAUUAGGGGAAAUGGGUCUAAAUGGCUGCAAGAGGCAGUUUUGUCAGCUAGACGUCUUUUUACAAGUAUAUUGCAUCCUUCAGUCUCUUCCUGCCCCACCCUAAGACCCUCACCUGGGAAAUGGGAGGAUGGCUUGGAAGGCAAUUGUCAGGCCUCUGAGCCCAAGCUAAGCCAUCAUAUCCCCUGUGACCUGUACAUACACAUCCAGAUGGCCCGGUUCCUGCCUUAACUGAUGACAUUCCACCACAAAAGAAGUGAAAAUGGCCUGUUCCUGCCUUAACUGAUGACAUUACCUUGUGAAAUUCCUUCUCCUGGCUCAUCCUGGCUCAAAAGCUCCCCCGCUGAGCACCUUGUGACCCCCACCCCUGCCCGCCAGAAAACAACCCCUUUGACUGUAAUUUUCCUUUACCUACCCAAAUCCUAUAAAACAGCCCCACCCCUAUCUCCCUUCGCUGACUCUCUUUUCGGACUCAGCCCGCCUGCACCCAAGUGAAAUAAACAGCCUUGUUGCUCACACAAAGCCUGUUUGGUGGUCUCUUCACACGGACGUGCGUGAAAGCGAUGAAGCUGAGGUUGCAGGAAAGGAGUGAUCACCUGGCUCAGAGCUGGGCCCUAAAAGUCUAGGCCAGAGCCUCCCUGUUGUGAAAGGGAGUGGAAGGAGAAGGGGCUGGGAUGGGUCAAACUGGGUGGAAAGCUAGGCUCUGCUGUUUAGAAGCUGUAUGAUCUUGAGCAAGUUGCUUAACCCUUGCUAAGCCUCAGUUUCCCUUCCUGCAGAAAGGGAUUAUCAUGGGGACGAAAGGGGAUCCAGAACCUGGAGUGGAGGAUAGGGUGGGUAAGUGGAAGGUGUCAUGAGGACAACAUAUGCUGAGACACUCACCACCCUUUCUGAGGGCGCCUCAGCAGCAGGUCACAUGGUGCCUGAAACUCGUUUUUCUGAGUUGUGCUGGUUUGUGGAAUGAAAAGGGAAGCCAGGCUUCCUUCUUACUAGCUCUGACUGCCUUGUUUUAAGGAUCAUUCACCUUCCCUAAGGAUGGGAUAAAGCCUUCCUGUAGAGCAGACCGAUCUCCUUCUUUAUCCCUACAGUUCUCCCACCGUGGCCAUGGCCUUGGGGGCUGUUCUGACUCUUACAUUUAUAUAUCACUCCUACUUUCCCAGCCAGCAGGAUAGAAAACCUGAGAAGGGAAUUCUGCCUUAUAAACAUUUCUUACAGAUGGGGCAGACAGGUUGUUUCUUUUUUACCAAGGAAGCUCAGGGCAAUUCUGGUUGCAGGAAUGUUAAGCACUGAUAAAGAAGAGAAGAAAAAAUAUUCACCCUCCAGGGCCUGGAAUUUCCCCAUUCCUGAGCCCUGGCUUCCCUGUCUGAGAUAGAGACUGUCAGUCAGUCACCUACCAAUUCCCAAUUUCUCUUUCUGCUUUACUAAAAGUACUUGAUUUGGGAUGGGGGUGGGGGGUGGCAGGCAGCAAUACAUCCAAGUAAAAGACUGUACUUCCCAAAUCUCUUGAAACUAGGGACAGCCAAUGAGGUAUAAAUGAAAAUUAUUGGGGCUGGGGUCCCAAAAGCUUCUCUCUCUUUUUUGAGACAGAGUCUCAGUUUGUCAUCUAGGCUGGAGUGCAGCAGCAGGAUCACAGCUGUAAAAUCAAAAGUGUCAAAGACAGGUCUCAAUCAAUUUAGAAAGUUCAUUUUGCCAAAGUUAAGAGCACACCUUUAACCUCAGGUGAUCCUGACAGCAUGUACCCAAGGUGGUUGGUGCCCAACUUGGUUUUAUACAUUUUAGGGAGCAUAAGGCAUCAAUCAAUAUGUGUAAGAUGUACAUUGGUUUGGUCUGGAAAGGUGGGACAACUGAAAGGUGGGACUUCCAAGUCAUAGGUGGAUUCAAAGAUUUUCUGAUUGGCAAUUGGUUGAAAGAGUUAUUAUCGAUAGAAAAGAAUGUCUGGGUUAUGAUGAGGGGUUUUGAAGGGAGGAGGGUAGAAUGAGGCAUGUCUGACUCCCCCUUCCCAUCAUGGCCUGAACUAGUUUUUCAGGUUAACUUUGGAAUGCCCUUGGCUAAGAGGAAGGGUCCAUUCAGAUGGUUGGCGGGGGGGCCUUAGAAUUUUAUUGUUGGUUUACGUGGCUCAGUGCAGCCUUCACCUCCUGGGCUCAAGUGAUCCUUCCAUCUCAGCCUCUUGAGUAGCUGUGGCCACAGGUGCAUGCCACCAUGCCUGGCUAACUUUUUUUUUUGGUAGAUAUGGGGUCUUGCCAUGUUGCCCAGGCUGGUUUUGAAUUCCUAAGCUCAAGUUAUCCUCCUGUUACAGGAAAGGGGUCCUGAUCCAGAUCCCAAGAGAGAGUUCUUGGAUCUCACACAAGAAAGAAUUCGAGGUGAAUCCAUAGAGUAAAGUGAAAGCAAGUUUAUUAGGAAAGUAAAGAAAUAAAAGAAUGGCUACUCCAUAGGCACAGCAGCUUCCAGGGCUGCUGGCUGCCCAUUUUUAUGGUUAUUUCUUGAUUAUAUGCUAAUUAUUUAGUGUUUGCAAAAAUAGCCAGGCUAUAAGGGGUGGAUUAUUCAUGAGUUUUGUGGAAAAGGGGUGGGCAAUUCCCAGAGCUGAGGGUUCCUCCCAUUUUUAGACCAUAUAGGGUAACUGCCAGAUCUUACCAUGGCAUCUGUAAACUGCCAUGGUGCUGAUGAGAGUGUCUUUUAGCAUGCUAAGGCAUUAUAAUUAGCAUAUAAUGAGCAGUGAGGACAAUCAGAGAUCACUCUUAUCACUAUCUUGCUUUUGGGGGGUUUUAACCAGCUUCUUUACAGCAGCCUGUUUUAUCAGCAAGGUCUUUGUGACCUGUUUCUUGUGCUGACCUCCUAUGUCAUCCUGUGACUUAGAAUGCCUACCCUUCUAGGAAUGCAGCCUAGUAGUUCUCAGUCUUAUUUUACCCAGCCCCUACUCAAGAUGGAGUCCCUCUGGUUCAAAUGCCUCUGACACUCCCACCUCAGCCUCCCAUAGUGCUGGAAUUACAGGCUUGAGCCACUGCACCUGGCCUUAAAAGCUUCUUAAAGGGAUCUAAGAAAUUGACUCUCCCCACCCUCUUUCUUAACCGUAAAACACUAAUGUAAUGGCUGGAGUUCUAGCAACCAUAUUGGGCCAUGAGGCAACCUUGAAAAAGGAAGCCACAAACUAAAACAUUGACUCUCAACCUUUAAUGCUGAAAAAAGAAAAAGUAUCCCCUGACAUCCGGGAAAUGGCCUGACACUUUGAGCUAGGGCUUAAUCUUAUUAAAAGCUUGCCUGGCUAUUUUUGCAAACACUGAUGUCAGUCGCCAGUCUGCAACUGUGAUGAAGAGGUCAAAAGAGACCCCUUCCUAACUCUGUCUAAGCACAAACAACUCCACAAAACACUAGACACACCCCCUUCUGGCUCAUUAAGUGACAGGGGCCUCCUUAUCAACUAUAACUAUAGCCUUGAUCUUGUCUUCUGUCCUUAUAGAUAAGAUUUACUAACAUACCCAGCUGCAGAAUUGUCCCAUUUCCAGACAGCAGACAAUGCAGAGCAAGCCCUUCCCUCCUAGACCCUCCCCAAAUUCACCUAACCAAAGCCCAAAGCCUAAAAGUCCCUUUGAACACCUUUUUAGUGAAAUGGUGCCCCCAUGAUAUCUUCCUCAUUGCAACCAGUAAUAAAGCCAACUUGUUCAAAUGCCGGUUUGCAAAUAAAUCACUUGGGGAUUUGUUAAAAUGCAGACUGUGGUUCAGUAGGUCUGAAGUAGAGCUUAUUCUGUGUUUGCCACAAGCACCCAGUGAGGCACUUGCUGCUGGACCAUGGUCCCACUUUGGGUAGCAAGGCAGUUAAGGGUGGCAGAUUAGAACACUGGACAUGCUUAACCUUGACCAUGGGACCACUGUAUGCAUCCUGUUGUUUCUCAGUGAAAAUAUGCCUGUAUUUCAUGUAAGCCCCCGCUAUAUAUGUUGGCUACUAGCAACUUAACCAACACGUUGUCCUUGUCCUUAGAAAAUGUGUGGUUACAGCCAGGUGUGAGCAGGCCUAGACCAGGCUUGGGGAUUUAUUGACCAAAUGUGGUGCCUUUGAGGUGAAACCACAAGUAAUCAGAGAAGCUGAGUCACUCCACUUAGUGGACUGGUGGAAAAUUCUCAAAUGGUCUUAAGCUGGCCCCAUGUUGGGCUGAGGACUAGAGAUCUCAGAGGCUCCACCUGCCCAUCCAAUUGCAGGUGUCUGGGCCUGGCCCCACCUUGCCUUCCUGCUCCAUUGCUCACCAUUCCACACCCAAAGGCACCAUGAUGUUUUGUACCUCCUUGCCUUUGCUCUUCCCUUUGCCAGGGAUGCCCUUCCCACCUUCCUCCACGUGGCUAACCCUCCCUCAGCUCUGCUUCCAGGGUGUCUCCCCUGGUCGCCAAGGGCUGGCUAGUGCCUCUUCUUUGCUCCCAGGGCACCCUGUGCCUUUCUGUGCCCCAACUAUUUCCCAGUUUGUAGCAGUUAUUUAUUUUGUGGUCAUCUUCCCACUGGUCGUCAGCUCCUAGAGGGCAGGGAUCAUGUUUUGGGUUAUUCAUCACUGCAUCCCCUGACAUAGUCCCCAAACCUCGAGAACUAUGAAACUGCACCAAAGGUUCCAGCUCCCCCACAGCCUGCCCUUAACCUUGAGCCAUUUGAAGGGAGAGUAUGAGACAAUAGUGAAAGAAACCCUUCUCUAAUGUUUUCCCCAUUUAGGUUAUGUGAAGUUGGCAGUUCCCAAGGGCUUUAGGCUUGAAGCUGUGGGUCAUACCCCUUCGGAAACUUGGUCCCCAAGAGAAAUGUAUGCUUCUGAAAACCACAGGUGCAUGAAUCGUGUUUAGUAAAUGACUACUAAACUGAAAUCAGGACUUGUCUAUAUCUUGGCUUCUCAAACUUGAAUAUGCUUAUCAUCUGGAUAGCAAAAGCAUUCCUACACGUUGAGGCCUGCCAGCGUGGGUGUCACCCAGGAGCCACUCGGAAAGGCUCAUCGGAAACCACCCCGGACUGACUGAGGCAGAAUCUCUGGGGGCAGGACCCAGGCCUCAGCAUAAAAACUCCAGGUGACGGAAGAGCUCCCACCUAACAGGUGUGUUGGCAUUGUUGUAGGUGACUGACGUAGUUUCCCAUCUCACAACUCUACCUCCAUGAAGAAAAGUCAUGGAAAAUUGAGACUUUGGGCUGAGUGUGGCUCAUCCCUGUAAUCUUAGUGCUUUGGGAGGCUGAGGUAGGAGGAUCGCUUGAGGCCAGGAAUUUGAGGCCAGCCUGAGCAACAUAGUGUCUCUUCAAAAAACUAAGUUUAUUCUUUCCUCUUUUUUAGUUUUUAUUUUACACGGCUCACUGUGGCUUUGACCUCCCAUGCUGAAGCGAUCCUCCUAUCUCAACCUCUCAAGUAGCUGGAAGCACAGGCAUGCACCACCACACCUGGCUAAUUUUUUUCUUCCUUUUUUAAAGAGACAGUCUUGCCAUGUUGCCCAGGCCCUGUUGACCAGGAAAAAAAAAAGUUUUUUUUCUUUUUUAAAGAAAGAAAAUAAAAGAGACUGAGAAACCACAGAAAUAAAGAAGCGCUGAUGACAAUGCCUGCUUGCUGAUGGUUACGAUGAUCAUAGCAGUGUGCAUUUUGUAUGCAUGAAGCCUGCGACUAAAUAAACGUGUGGGGAAAUAUUUGUAAGGAAAUAAGCUAUUAAUAAAAUAAGCUAAAAUCACAGUUGCUGGACUAUGACUGAUUUUUCCCCUUUCUCUCAUUUAAAAUUAAAUAUUUGUAUGACUUGUAUAAUAGAAAAAUACAUGUAUUCAAUCUUAAAAAGAUAUUCUUAUUUUACACUUUACGGGACAAAAGAGGUUGUAGGUUGGAAUGGUUCAGUCCCCUUGUGACAACUCAAAAACAGAGACCUUAAGCCUUUCUCAACCAAUGUUGCGGGACAAGCAGGCGUGUGAGGCGACAAUGCCAUUAGGGUAUUUUUUGGAAAAAUUUUAGUGUGAGAGACAAAAGCCAAAUUCAAACUGGCCUGAGCCAAAAUAGGUAGGAAAGGGAGAAGCGGAGACAGGGAGGAAGAAAGAGAGAGAACAGAAAGAAAAAGGGAGAAAUGUCGAAAGGCAAAAUUACAACACAUUUAGUUAAAUGAUUGAAUUGGUUUUUAUUUGUAAUUCAUGAAUUGGGGCAGCAUCUCCUCUAAAACUUUAGGAAAAGUGCUCUGAUGAGCUAAACAGAGAAGCUUGGCUUUAUAGGCAGAAAAGGGUGAAGAAAGCAGACACAGGGAACAAAAAGCAGAUUGGUAAGCUCAGGUUACUUCAGGUUACUUUCCUUAUAAAGGUUAAAGUAGAGGGGACUUCCUUAUCAUGCUGGCUACAACUGGCCUGUUUGGGGAUUUGCAUAUUAUCUCUCUCUGUCUUGAGUUCUGGGAAGGUCUGAUGACUUAGUUUCAGUUUGGUGAUAUGGAACUUAGCAUGAGUGACUCCAUCUUGGUUUGGUCUACUGGGGCCUCCUGCAGGAGCUCAGCCCAAAUCAGUGACCUCCUAUAAAUUUCAUUUAAUAGAAAAGGAAGGAAGGAAGGAAGGAAGGAAGGAAGGAAGGAAGGAAGGAAGGAAGGGAGGGAGGGAGGGAGGGAGGGAGGGAGGAAGGGAGGAAAGAAGGAAGGAAAGAAAGAAAGUUGCUUAUAAGUUGCUUAUAACUAAAAAGACCAGCUGGACCCAGGAGCUCUGAGGUUGCUUUCAGGCCUCUGUCCAUCUCUUAGUUUUCCAUCCUCAGACAGGCUCUGCCCUGCCUUACAGUCUAGCAUUGUUGGCCAAAGGUGACUGACUGGCCCAGCUUGGGCUAUAUGUCCUUCCCUGUGGCCAGAGAGAUGUGUCUCUGUGAUGGCCAGGCUUGGGUCACGUACUCCCUCCCCUACCAGAAUCACAUGAAAAGAGGGAGGAAGAGCCGCUUUCCACCAAAGGAAACUGAAGUGCUAUUGUCAGAGGGGUUGCUGGGCAGACCAAAAAGAUGACAAUAUCUGCUCCAAUCGCUCGGGUUGUUGGUGCUUGGCAGAUUUGCCCCUACGUCACUUUUCAGAUGUGGAUAAGACUGAAGGUGACCACAGGCUUCCGAGAGGAAAGCUGCCAAUGGGGGUGUGAGAGGAGGGGGAAUUCUUACUCACCAAGGUUAACACUGUGCACACUGUUCUCCGAGGAAGUGGGAAUUUCCACAUGGUGAGUUCCCUUCCCUGUACAAUGAAUUACUAUCUUGAUGAGAAACCCGUGGGCAGCUGGUUGAGAAGAGAAAGGUAUUCUCUGAAUGAGAGGGAAUUUACCACCUUCCUUUCAAUGGUGACAGUUUUUUCUGGUGUCACCGCAGGGUGUGGAUUGAUUCAUAUACAAAUAUACAUAUCUACAUAGAUGCCAUUCUGCUAGCCUCUGCAAAAUGCAUGCCUGGAGACCAUUUCUGCUGCCUAGGAGAUGUCAACUUUGUCACCACCACUCUCUCUCCACCACUCCCACACCCUGCAGGGGCCAGGUGUGUGGGUGGGGAGCUCCCCAGCUGGAGGCCAGAUUAGAGGUCUCUGUGUGGUGGGGAUGGGGAGGAUGGGGUGGGAAUGAGGUGGUAGGCCACUGGCAGUGGUCCAAGUUCCAUCCAGGAUCUGUCCUAGGCCUCUCCCCAGGCUGUCGCUUCCACCAUUGAAUUUCUAACCUGGAUCUCUAAGGUUAUGAAUAUCUCAUUCCCGCAUCCUGGGGUGCUCAGACAUGUCUCCCCUGAGUCUCUAGCUGGGCUCGUGGCUGUGAUCAUUGUCCUCAGAGUUCCAUCCUCCCAACAAAGGGACAGAAGAAACACAGGGCCCACUUUUCUGGAUUCUGAGUUGGAGCCAAGAAAUUCUAUCUGCUGCUUCCUUCCUGUUGAAUUAUCCCCCAAGGACCCCUUAGUCCCUCCAGUCUCCUCCAGAGGCCUAUAGCUGCCCCAGCUCCCCAUGAUGGAUACCUGGCUCUUUCCUACCCAGAGGAAAACGCAGGCCCUUCCCCAGCCCUGCACUGAACUCCUGUGAGUGGCUGAGGAGAUGAGGAGGUGUGAAGAGUGAGUGUGUUGGGGAGGGAGGGGUCCCCUGCCACCAGGUACCAAGGACUUCUGCCAGAUCACCAGAACUGACACCUGGUUCCACCGGCCAGCUGUGAAGUGUCGGCCCUGACAUCAACAGCUGACCUCCCACAGGGCCUAAGGAAACGGAAUUGUGGGUAAAUGAAACAUUUUAUUUAUUUUAUUUUGUUUUAUUUUUAUAAAUUUUUGGGGAGACAGUUUUGCUAUGUUGCCAAGGCUGGGCUUGAUCUCCUGACCUUAAGUGAUCCUCCUACCUUGGCCUCCUGUGCUGAGAUUACAGGUGUGAAUCACCAUGCCUGGCCAAGAAGUGAAUUUGUAAAAGACAUGAGGAAAGGCCUGGUGGAAAGCUAACAGUGAAAAAAAUUUUCAAUACUUGCUAUAGAAACUAAAGAAACUCACAAUAUUUUGCUCUCUAUUGGAUCAUUUCCAUCAACAUACAAAUAAAUACCUGUUAUUUUUUCCAUCUUUAAAAAAAUGCCUUCAUUAUAAGUGAUUCAACAAAUUAAUAAACGAGAAGGGAAAAAUCUUCUCUAUAGAAGAAUUCCAAAUAGCAUAUGUAGAUACUCUCCCCUCCAGGAAGCCGAGCUUAAAUCCACUCUCUUUGAGAGUGGACUGGAUUUAGUGACUCACUUCCAAAGAGUAGAGUAUGGAAAGGGAAAAUAGUAACUUUAUAGGAAAGAAACCCAGCAGGUACCUUGUUAACCAAAUGAUGAAGGUUAACAUCACCGCUGAUAAGUCAUGUUGCUAUCAUUCACCCGCUGAUACGAUCUCAUGAGAAGGGCAAUUCCCGACUGUGGUAUUCUUCAAAUCUAUUGAGUUAUAAGAAAACAUGAGAUAAACCCAAACUGAGGAACAUUCUACAGAAUACAUGACCAGUAUUCUUCAAAGCCCUUAAGGUCAUGAUAAACAAGGGAAGACUAAGAAGUGAUCACAGAUUGGGAUGACUGAGACAUGAUGACAAAAUGCAGAGUGAUAUCUUGGAACAGAAAAAAGACAUUAGUGAGAAAAUUCAAAAAACUCUGAUUAGAGUUGAUAGUUGGGCUAUUAGUUUUAUACCAAUGUGAAUUUCUUAGUUUUGACAAAUAUACGUGAGGGAAAGCUAGGCGAAGGGUAUUCUGGAAAUCUCUACCCUGUACUGUCUUUUCAACUUUUCUAUGAAUCUAAAGCUCUUCCAAAGAUAAGUCUAUUAAAAAAAUAACAAAAACUUCCUCUAAAAUUUAAAGACGGACAAUAUCAGGUGUUGAUAAAUCUGUGGAGAAUUUGGAGCUCAUACAUUGCUGGUGAGAAUGUGAAAUUAUGUAGUUAUUUUGGAAAACAGUUCGGUAGUUCUUAUAAAAUGAAAGAUACAUCACUAAAUGACCCAACGAUUCUACUCCUUGAUAUCUACCCAGUAGGAAGGAAAUGAUGUCCGUACAAAGACUUGUAUACAAAUAUUCAUACCAUUUUUCAUCAUAAUGGCCCAAAACUAGAAACAACUCAAAUGUCCAUCAACAAGUAAUGGGUAAUCAAAUUGCGGUAUAUAUAUACAAUGAAAUAUAACUCAAUAUAAAGUAAGAAACUACUCAUAGAUACAGCAACAUGGAUAUUUCUCAAGUAUAUGCUGAGCAAAAAAAGCCAGACACAGGAGCACAUCCUAUAUGAUUCAAUUUAUACGACAUUUUAGAAAAGGCAAAACUAAUCUCAGAGACAGAAAGCAGGUCUGUGGUUGCCUGGAGCUGCGGAUUGGGGAGGGGAUGAUGGGAGAGAUUGACAAAAGGAGCACAAGGAACCUUUUGGGGUGAUGCUGGUAAUAUAUAUCUUGAUUGUUGUGGUGGUUACAUGGAUGCAUACAUUUGUCAAAAAUCAUUAAACUGUAUACUUCAAAUUUAUUAUAUGUAAAUUAUGCCUUAAUAAAGUUGAUUUUCUGAAAAGCUUUCUUUGAUCCGUUUACCCUGCCAGCUCCCCUUUUGCAAGACUCCUGAAAGAGCUGCUGAUACUCACUGUCUCCACUUCUACCCCAUAUGUUCUUUCUGAAGCCCACCCCAGCCAGGCUUCUAUUCCCAUCAUGCCAUGGAAACCAUUCUCAUCAAGGCGGCAGUGACCUCCGUGUUGCUAAAUCCAAUGAGCACUCACCACUUUCCAGUACAGUAUAUUAUUCAACCUGCUUGUUUAUUUUGUUUACUUUUCAUUGUCUAUCUACUCAAAGGCAGGAAACUGCUUUGUUCACGGCUGUAUCCCAAGUCCUAGAGUAGUGCCUGGCCCGUAGUAGCUGCCCAGUAGGUACUUGUUGAAUGAAGUAAUAAAGUUUCACCAGCAAGAGCAAACUUCCUACCUCUGGCCUAUCAGCCCAGGUCUGAGCAGACUGAUCCAGGAGACGACAGAGAAAAGGUGGAUCUGGAGGGAUCCUGCCCUGUCCCAGGAUUGGGAGAAUUGAGAGAGGCUCCGGAUUCUUCUUCAUUGUCUUUGGUUGUGCCUCGUGACCUCAGACAGACCUGGGCCUCUGGUUCGCUAGGCUGCAGCUGUGUGCUCAGAGCCACUGCCCACCGCUUAACGUCAUAGUUCUCAGGGGACCUUCCAGGAAUACUCAGAGGACAUAUGUCUGUGACUGCACUGUCCAGGGUACCAGCCACUGGCCAUGUGGCUACUGAGUACUUAUUUGGCCAGUCCCAAAUGAGAUGUGUUGAAACUGUAAAAUUUCAAAGACUUAGUACAAA